ensembl:lncRNA
GUGAUCCGCCAACGUCACACUUGUCUCCGGCGCCACCACACCGACCAGUCCCAGGAAGAGAGAUCCAACUCUGUUGCCGUGGCAGGAGCAGUGAUGGGGGCAGUCCUUGCCCUUUUCCUCAUAGCCGUCUUCACCAUCGUCAUCCUCACAGCACGGAAGACCUCUCCCCCAGCGUACACAGACAAAGUGAUUGAUCUACCUCCGACACACAAGCCCCCCCCUCCGUACAUAGAGAGACCCCCAGCCAUCCCUCUAGCUGUUCACGCACCACAGGUGGCCUCCCUGUCACAGGCUCGCAGGGCUGAGCGGCGCUUUGAGAUGGCCGAGAAAACCCCCGCCAGGCUCAUGCACCGGGAACCCCAAAGCCCCUCCCACCAGCCUCUGUCCUAUCAGGAGUGGGUCUGUCACCAAAAUGGGGCGGAUCGCGUCUACAUCAACCACCGGGAACACUAUGUUUAAAGGGGCAUAUUCUGAUCCUUGGACCUGUUAAUCAAUGACUUACACCACCCCAAACCAACCCCACAGAGGCUCAGGGUGGACAGCCUUUUCAGACACAGCUCAUGAUUUGACCAAGCCUUCCUAAAUGAGAGUCUACUCCACGUUUAAACUCCUUUGAGAGCAGCAGUUACCGCCUGCAAGAAGCAAGACUAAUGAGGCUGAAGCAUAAACUGCUAAGUGUCUCUGAGGAACAACCAACCCAGACACCUCCUCCACUCUCCUCCCCUGAACCACCACACACUUGUUCUGUUCCCAACCACAUCAAGGAACAGGAUAACAGCAGAGGAGGAGGAAGACACAUUGGGACAGUACCACACAAGAAGUUAAAACAGCACACUAAGCUCUUGUGUAGUGUACUGAAAUUGAAUAAUAUGAAAACACUGUGCUCUAUCAUGGAUAGAAGAGAUGUGUAUAACUAUGUCACAGUUGCUAUGGUGAUAUUAUAGUGAUGGCAUAAUCCUGUGUACUGUUAUGCUCUUUAAAUUAGAAUUAGAAAGAAAUUAUUUAAAUACCAGACAUAUCUCUGGCUCUGGUAAACAAGCAGUGUUACCACAGCAUUUACAGUGUAAUAUCAAGCAUUACAUUAAUUAUAGUAGAUAGUAACAUAUAAUGUAAUCCAGUCAUACUCUAUUGUGUCAUAUGUUCAGAUAAGAUGAAUGUAGGGUAGUUCAGGGGCUUUGAGAAGUCAACUGAAUCAUAGACAAGGGGAAUGAACCAUGUGGACUGUUCUUUUGUCUGUUGAGAAAAGCAUAUUUUUAUUAUUUCAUUGUGUAUAACACAUUUUCCAACUUUUUUGUGCCAUUUUAAUAUUUGAAAGGAGAUGCUCUCAACAGUAGAUAUGCUUUUUUAUUCUAAUUAUUC